UGUGGGAGCGAGCCUGCUCGCGAUAGCGGUUUGUCAGCUGGCAUCAUGCCGGCUGAUCCAACGCAAUCGCGAGCAGGCUCGCUCCCACA
rnacentral:misc_RNA from 1 species